rnacentral:snRNA from 1 species
AUCGCUUCUCGGCCUUUUGGCUAAGAUCAAGUGUGUGAGAAUCUAUCCACACAAUAUAAUCUAAAUUAUUAAGGAUUUUUUAAAAUGUUAUGUUCUUCAUGGACUUCAUGUUCUUCAAAGUACCUCCUGUUCUUUAUUUCAUUUGAAAUCUAGACUAGCCUUUCU